UAAGGUAACGGCUUACCAAGGCAACGAUGCAUAGCCGACCUGAGAGGGUGAUCGGCCACACUGGAACUGAGACACGGUCCAGACUCCUACGGGAGGCAGCAGUAGGGAAUCUUCCGCAAUGGGCGAAAGCCUGACGGAGCAACGCCGCGUGAGUGAUGAAGGUCUUCGGAUCGUAAAACUCUGUUAUUAGGGAAGAACAUAUGUGUAAGUAACUGUGCACAUCUUGACGGUACCUAAUCAGAAAGCCACGGCUAACUACGUGCCAGCAGCCGCGGUAAUACGUAGGUGGCAAGCGUUAUCCGGAAUUAUUGGGCGUAAAGCGCGCGUAGGCGGUUUUUUAAGUCUGAUGUGAAAGCCCACGGCUCAACCGUGGAGGGUCAUUGGAAACUGGAAAACUUGAGUGCAGAAGAGGAAAGUGGAAUUCCAUGUGUAGCGGUGAAAUGCGCAGAGAUAUGGAGGAACACCAGUGGCGAAGGCGACUUUCUGGUCUGUAACUGACGCUGAUGUGCGAAAGCGUGGGGAUCAAACAGGAUUAGAUACCCUGGUAGUCCACGCCGUAAACGAUGAGUGCUAAGUGUUAGGGGGUUUCCGCCCCUUAGUGCUGCAGCUAACGCAUUAAGCACUCCGCCUGGGGAGUACGACCGCAAGGUUGAAACUCAAAGGAAUUGACGGGGACCCGCACAAGCGGUGGAGCAUGUGGUUUAAUUCGAAGCAACGCGAAGAACCUUACCAAAUCUUGACAUCCUUUGACAACUCUAGAGAUAGAGCUUUCCCCUUCGGGGGACAAAGUGACAGGUGGUGCAUGGUUGUCGUCAGCUCGUGUCGUGAGAUGUUGGGUUAAGUCCCGCAACGAGCGCAACCCUUAAGCUUAGUUGCCAUCAUUAAGUUGGGCACUCUAAGUUGACUGCCGGUGACAAACCGGAGGAAGGUGGGGAUGACGUCAAAUCAUCAUGCCCCUUAUGAUUUGGGCUACACACGUGCUACAAUGGACAAUACAAAGGGCAGCGAAACCGCGAGGUCAAGCAAAUCCCAUAAAGUUGUUCUCAGUUCGGAUUGUAGUCUGCAACUCGACUACAUGAAGCUGGAAUCGCUAGUAAUCGUAGAUCAUCAUGCUACGGUGAAUACGUUCCCGGGUCUUGUACACACCGCCCGUCACACCACGAGAGUUUGUAACACCCGAAGCCGGUGGAGUAACCUUUUAGGAGCUAGCCGUCGAAGGUGGGACAAAUGAUUGGGGUGAAGUCGUAACAAGGUAGCCGUAUCGGAAGGUGCGGCUGGAUCACCUCCUUU
rnacentral:rRNA from 1 species